rnacentral:rRNA from 1 species
GGGUUGUGAGGUUAAGCGACUAAGCGUACACGGUGGAUGCCCUGGCAGUCAGAGGCGAUGAAGGGCGUGCUAAUCUGCGAUAAGCGCCGGUAAGGUGAUAUGAACCGUUAUAACCGGCGAUACCCGAAUGGGGAAACCCAGUGUGACUCGUCACACUAUCAUUAACUGAAUCCAUAGGUUAAUGAGGCGAACCGGGGGAACUGAAACAUCUAAGUACCCCGAGGAAAAGAAAUCAACCGAGAUUCCCCCAGUAGCGGCGAGCGAACGGGGAGGAGCCCAGAGCCUGAAUCAGCAUGUGUGUUAGUGGAAGCGUCUGGAAAGGCGCGCGAUACAGGGUGACAGCCCCGUACACAAAAGCGCAUGUGCUGUGAGCUCGAUGAGUAGGGCGGGACACGUGGUAUCCUGUCUGAAUAUGGGGGGACCAUCCUCCAAGGCUAAAUACUCCUGACUGACCGAUAGUGAACCAGUACCGUGAGGGAAAGGCGAAAAGAACCCCGGCGAGGGGAGUGAAAAAGAACCUGAAACCGUGUACGUACAAGCAGUGGGAGCCCCACCACUAAGCCAGUGGUGAACUCCACAUACGCAUCCUUUGCUGAGGAUACGGUUAACGGAGCGAAAGCGACGUUCAACCGCAAAAGAAGCAGAGGGGGCUUAGUGGUGGGGUGACUGCGUACCUUUUGUAUAAUGGGUCAGCGACUUAUAUUCUGUAGCAAGGUUAACCGCAUAGGGGAGCCGGAGGGAAACCGAGUCUUAAUUGGGCGUUAAGUUGCAGGGUAUAGACCCGAAACCCGGUGAUCUAGCCAUGGGCAGGUUGAAGGUUGGGUAACACUAACUGGAGGACCGAACCGACUAAUGUUGAAAAAUUAGCGGAUGACCUGUGGCUGGGGGUGAAAGGCCAAUCAAACCGGGAGAUAGCUGGUUCUCCCCGAAAGCUAUUUAGGUAGCGCCUCGUGAAUUCAUCUCCGGGGGUAGAGCACUGUUUCGGCUAGGGGGCCAUCCCGGCUUACCAACCCGAUGCAAACUGCGAAUACCGGAGAAUGUUAUCACGGGAGACACACGGCGGGUGCUAACGUCCGUCGUGAAGAGGGAAACAACCCAGACCGCCAGCUAAGGUCCCAAAGUCAUGGUUAAGUGGGAAACGAUGUGGGAAGGCCCAGACAGCCAGGAUGUUGGCUUAGAAGCAGCCAUCAUUUAAAGAAAGCGUAAUAGCUCACUGGUCGAGUCGGCCUGCGCGGAAGAUGUAACGGGGCUAAACCAUGCACCGAAGCUGCGGCAGCGACACUCAGGUGUUGUUGGGUAGGGGAGCGUUCUGUAAGCCUGUGAAGGUGGCCUGUGAGGGUUGCUGGAGGUAUCAGAAGUGCGAAUGCUGACAUAAGUAACGAUAAAGCGGGUGAAAAGCCCGCUCGCCGGAAGACCAAGGGUUCCUGUCCAACGUUAAUCGGGGCAGGGUGAGUCGACCCCUAAGGCGAGGCCGAAAGGCGUAGUCGAUGGGAAACGGGUUAAUAUUCCCGUACUUGGUGUUACUGCGAAGGGGGGACGGAGAAGGCUAUGUUGGCCGGGCGACGGUUGUCCCGGUUUAAGCGUGUAGGUGUGUGUUCCAGGUAAAUCCGGUUCACUUUAACACUGAGGCGUGACGACGAGGCACUACGGUGCUGAAGCAACAAAUGCCCUGCUUCCAGGAAAAGCCUCUAAGCAUCAGGUAACAUCAAAUCGUACCCCAAACCGACACAGGUGGUCAGGUAGAGAAUACCAAGGCGCUUGAGAGAACUCGGGUGAAGGAACUAGGCAAAAUGGUGCCGUAACUUCGGGAGAAGGCACGCUGACACGUAGGUGAAGUGAUUUACUCAUGGAGCUGAAGUCAGUCGAAGAUACCAGCUGGCUGCAACUGUUUAUUAAAAACACAGCACUGUGCAAACACGAAAGUGGACGUAUACGGUGUGACGCCUGCCCGGUGCCGGAAGGUUAAUUGAUGGGGUCAGCGCAAGCGAAGCUCCUGAUCGAAGCCCCGGUAAACGGCGGCCGUAACUAUAACGGUCCUAAGGUAGCGAAAUUCCUUGUCGGGUAAGUUCCGACCUGCACGAAUGGCGUAAUGAUGGCCAGGCUGUCUCCACCCGAGACUCAGUGAAAUUGAACUCGCUGUGAAGAUGCAGUGUACCCGCGGCAAGACGGAAAGACCCCGUGAACCUUUACUAUAGCUUGACACUGAACAUUGAGCCUUGAUGUGUAGGAUAGGUGGGAGGCUUUGAAGUGUGGACGCCAGUCUGCAUGGAGCCGACCUUGAAAUACCACCCUUUGAUGUUUGAUGUUCUAACGUGGACCCGUUACCCGGGUUGCGGACAGUGUCUGGUGGGUAGUUUGACUGGGGCGGUCUCCUCCUAAAGAGUAACGGAGGAGCACGAAGGUUGGCUAAUCCUGGUCGGACAUCAGGAGGUUAGUGCAAUGGCAUAAGCCAGCUUGACUGCGAGCGUGACGGCGCGAGCAGGUGCGAAAGCAGGUCAUAGUGAUCCGGUGGUUCUGAAUGGAAGGGCCAUCGCUCAACGGAUAAAAGGUACUCCGGGGAUAACAGGCUGAUACCGCCCAAGAGUUCAUAUCGACGGCGGUGUUUGGCACCUCGAUGUCGGCUCAUCACAUCCUGGGGCUGAAGUAGGUCCCAAGGGUAUGGCUGUUCGCCAUUUAAAGUGGUACGCGAGCUGGGUUUAGAACGUCGUGAGACAGUUCGGUCCCUAUCUGCCGUGGGCGCUGGAGAACUGAGGGGGGCUGCUCCUAGUACGAGAGGACCGGAGUGGACGCAUCACUGGUGUUCGGGUUGUCAUGCCAAUGGCACUGCCCGGUAGCUAAAUGCGGAAGAGAUAAGUGCUGAAAGCAUCUAAGCACGAAACUUGCCCCGAGAUGAGUUCUCCCUGAGACUUUAGGUCUCCUGAAGGAACGUUGAAGACGACGACGUUGAUAGGCCGGGUGUGUAAGCGCAGCGAUGCGUUGAGCUAACCGGUACUAAUGAACCGUGAGGCUUAACCUUACAACGCCGAAG